rnacentral:misc_RNA from 1 species
GUAGGUGAACCUGCGGAAGGAUCAUUAAAAACCAGGUGCAAAACCUGCCAGGGGGAGCGGAAAGAGCCAACGGUCAUCAUGCUUGUGAGGCACGUUGAAACGAGUACGCUCCUCUUAACACCCUUGUCUUUUUGCGUACUUAUGUUUCCUCGGCGGGCUUGCCCGCCGGCUGGACAAUUUAAACCCUUUUUUAAUCUUCAAUCAGCGUCUGAAUAAUUAUAAUAAUUACAACUUUCAACAACGGAUCUCUUGGUUCUG